CAAUGGAGUCAUCUUUGCACUAUUUCUCACUUCCAUUACCCUUUUGCGUCAUCUUAGGCACCACCUUUUAUUGAAGUGGGUGAGAAGAUUGUAGUCAGUACAGCAGAUGAUUCAUAUAUGACGAGGGCCUAAGGGUAGUAUCUUGUGGAUGCCGUUUUGUUCGCCCAAAUGGGAAUCGAGUGCACUUUGCCUUCUUGGAUAAGUUUUUGCGUCUGCUAUUGCCCUGAACUUCAACCUUGCCGCCAGCACAAGAUAAACAUAGUUACCAAAUAUCCAGUAUUUAGCUGCAUAUUUUGUACUCAGAGGUGUUUUUAAUUUGUUCAUUGUUUUGAAUUUUUACUCAACACAUUCUCAUCAUGGUAAACCAUGGAAUUUUUGUGUGAACACAAAUAGAGAAGCUCUAUUUUGGUAGACACGCCGAGAGUAUUCGAAUCUCCCUCAUAUGGCUUACUGCUUUACGGAAUGAUGAGAUUUGAUUGUCGUAUUUUCAUAAUAAGUACGAAGUUUGAUUAUUGUUUCAUCUCAUAUAUGAAUUCCAUAUUCUGUCGCAGAAUGCCAGAUCA